CCAUCAAUCAAGGUUGCAGAAUCACUUGGUCAUACAGUCCUUGGAUGGCGUCCUGUCCCAAUUGAUAAUUCGGGACUUGAUCUUUGUUUGUUGUAGGAUAUGUGGUUUUAUCUUUCAGAGCAUGAAAAAUUCAGAGAUUUUGGGAAUGAACAAGCUCUCAUCUGGCAUGAGACUAACAUCCAUUAUGUAGUCUGGAAACCUGAGAGUACCAGGACCUUGUCCUUAAAUUAUCAGCCUUCUAAGGGAUUUCUCUGAGCUGCUGGCUGCUGUGUUACUUUAGGCUAGACUGCUAGUUUCUGGUCCUCCUGCUAUCUGGUUUCUGUUGCUAGUUCUGUCUGUGCAUUGCUGCUGCUGGUUCCUUCUCUGCUUUGCCAGCUGCUGCUGUUUCUGGCUCUGUUUACUCUGGCUGCUGUUGUGCAGUUCUCUGCCUGGUGCUAUGUGCCUGCUUUUGGCUGCUGCUGCUGUCCUGCUGGGCUUGAGGGUUGGCGCAGUGUGUUGGCUAGUUCCUUGUUCCUCUGUUCAGCUGCUAGUGUGGAGCUGGUCUUAGAUAUUUUCGUUCCUUGUUUGAUAUUUUCUGGACGAAAAUUGUAAUAUUACAGCCUUUUUAAUGAAAAUAUGUAACUUUAUAU